AAGUGGCCCCGGGAAGGGCAGCGCGGUGUUACAGGCUCCUGAACUGACAACUGGUUUUCCAUGAUAAAGAGAUCAGCUGACUACAGAGGAAGAAUCCAAUUUAUGUUGUGAAAAGGGAAAGACAUUUCCCAAACUUUAAGGUAUUACAUUACCAAGUUUUUUGACACCCACUGAAAUUUUGCUCC